rnacentral:lncRNA from 1 species
CUCCUAUCACGAUCAACUUUACUCCGAGCUUCUUCCGGACUUCGUCAAUGUCCGGGCUUCUCCAGUAGCAGGACUUCUAUAGUAACCAAACUCCAUCCAAGUUCCUACAGUGAUCGACCGCCUUCCGAAUUUCAUCCAAGCUUCUGCAGUAAGCGAAUUCCGACCGAACUUCUAUUGCAAGCGGACUUCAUCCAAGCUUCUGCAAUAAGCGGUCUCCACCCAGACUUCUACGGAAACCGAUCUCCAUCCGAGCUUCUACAGUAAGCGGCCUCCUUCCAGACUUCUGUAAGAACCGGACUCCGUCCGAACUUCUACAGCGGAUGGAUUCCAGACGAACUUCUAUAAUGAACGAGCUCUAGUAGCCGGAUUUCUACAAUGACCAACUAUCUUCGGUGUCUUCCGUACCUCUCCAGCCAUCAACCUUCAAUAGCGCCAAUCGGACUUCAACAGUGCCGACCAGACCCCUCCAACAGACAAAUUCCCUUCGAACUCCUCCAGCGGACGAACUUCCACAAUGCCUUCCGAAUUUCACUAUCGAUCGACCUUCUGUCAGAUUUCUCAUGCAACCGGAUCUCUCCAGUGGACAGUCUUCAGACAAGCUUCUACAUCAGACAAAUUUCAGACAGACUUCUCUAGCAAUCGGACUCCAACCGAAUUUCUCCAACAGAAAGUUUCCUUCCAG